CUCCCAUUUCCUCAGUUGGUAAGAGCGGGGUGCUGAUAACACCAAGGUUGACGGUUCGAUCCCAGAAUGGGACA